UACGUAGGGUGCGAGCGUUGUCCGGAAUUAUUGGGCGUAAAGGGCUCGUAGGCGGUUUGUCACGUCGGGAGUGAAAACUCGGGGCUCAACCCCGAGCCUGCUUCCGAUACGGGCAGACUAGAGGUAUGCAGGGGAGAAUGGAAUUCCUGGUGUAGCGGUGAAAUGCGCAGAUAUCAGGAGGAACACCGGUGGCGAAGGCGGUUCUCUGGGCCGAUACUGACGCUGAGGAGCGAAAGCGUGGGGAGCGAACAGG
rnacentral:rRNA from 1 species